rnacentral:rRNA from 1 species
CACUAUGCCCAGCCUUCAACAUCAGCGGUUCACUACACUUAUCCGUUCGCCUGGUUACUACGAGCUCAGCAGUAUCGAAGCUUAAAACCCAAAGGACUUGGCGGUGCUUCAAAACCCCCUAGAGGAGCCUGUUCUAUAACCGAUACUCCCCGUUAAACCUCACCCUUUCUUGUUCACUCCAGCCUAUAUACCGCCGUCGCCAGCUCACCCCUUGAGGGUUAACAAAUGUGAGCCAAACUGGUACAUUACCCGAUAAGUCAGGUCGAGGUGUAGCGUAAGGAAGGGGAAGAAAUGGGCUACAUUCCCUAAUUUAGUGAAUACAGAGGAUUAACCCUGAAACAAGGUAUCCAACGGUGGAUUUAGCAGUAAGAAGGGAAUAGAGUGCCCCUCUGAAGCUGGCUAUGGAGCGUGCACACACCGCCCGUCACUCUCUCCGAGCACCUUCGCCAUAAAUUUAUUUAAACAACAAGAUAUGCAUAGGGGAGGCAAGUCGUAA